GCCAAGGGAGCUUGGGCGGUUCAAGUGCUCGACUUGUAAUCGAGAAUUCGUGGGUUCGAAUCCCACCCUUGGCU
rnacentral:tRNA from 1 species